UGAAUACAAGACACUACGGUGUCAAAGUGGUCUAUGUCAUACUUCCAAGAAAAGUUCGCACUAUCUUAAACAAUAAAUGCCUGUACCCGAAACCGACACAGGUAGGUAGGUAGAGUAUACCAAGGGGCGCGAGAUAACUCUCUCUAAGGAACUCGGCAAAAUAGCCCCGUAACUUCGGGAGAAGGGGUACCCUUACAGGGUUGCAAUAACCAGGCCCAAGCGACUGUUUACCAAAAACACAGGUCUCCGCUGAGUCGCAAGACGAUGUAUGGGGGCUGACGCCUGCCCAGUGCUGGAAGGUUAAAGAAGUUGGUUAGCGCAAGCGAAGCUAGCGACUGAAGCCCCAGUGAACGGCGGCCGUAACUAUAACGGUCCUAAGGUAGCGAAAUUCCUUGUCGGGUAAGUUCCGACCCGCACGAAAGGCGUAACGAUUUGGGCACUGUCUCAGAGAGAGACUCGGCGAAAUAGACAUGUCUGUGAAGAUGCGGACUACCUGCACCUGGACAGAAAGACCCUAUGAAGCUUUACUGUAGCUUGAAAUUGGGUUCGGGCUUUUUCUGCGCAGAAUAGGUGGGAGGCUAUGAUAACAUUCUUGCGGGAGUGUUGGAGCCGUCAGUGAGAUACCACUCUGAACAAGUUAGAAUUCUAACCUUAUAUUGCCGUUAUCCGGCUAAGGGACAGUUUCUGGUGGGCAGUUUGACUGGGGCGGUCGCCUCCUAAAAGGUAACGGAGGCGUGCAAAGGUUCCCUCAGGCUGGUCGGAAAUCAGUCGUAGAGUGUAAAGGCAUAAGGGAGCCUGACUGCAAGACUUACAAGUCGAGCAGAGACGAAAGUCGGCCUUAGUGAUCCGGCAGUACCGAGUGGAAGGGCUGUCGCUCAACGGAUAAAAGUUACUCUAAGGAUAACAGGCUGAUCUCCCCCAAGAGUUCACAUCGACGGGGAGGUUUGGCACCUCGAUGUCGGCUCAUCGCAUCCUGGGGCGGUAGUACGUCCCAAGGGUUGGGCUGUUCGCCCAUGAAAGCGGUACGCGAGCUGGGUUCAGAACGUCGUGAGACAGUUCGGUCCAUAUCCGGUGUAGGCGUUAGAGUAUUGAGAAGAUUUCUCCUUAGUACGAGAGGACCGGGAGAGACAUACCUCUGGUGUACCAGUUAUUGUGCCAACAGUAAACGCUGGGUAGCUAAGUAUGGAAAGGAUAACCGCUGAAGGCAUCUAAGCGGGAAGCCCACUUCAAGAUGAGUACUCUCACUAUUUUAAAUAGUUAAGGUCACGGUAAGAUUAACCGUUUGAUAGGCAUCAAGUAUAAGUGUAGUAAUAUAUUAAGCUGAGAUGUACUAAUAGAUCGAAGACUU
rnacentral:rRNA from 1 species